UACGAAGGGGGCUAGCGUUGUUCGGAAUUACUGGGCGUAAAGCGCGCGCAGGCGGUCUUCCAAGUCAGUGGUGAAAGCCCGGAGCUCAACUCCGGAACUGCCAUUGAAACUGUUAGACUUGAGGAUGAGAGAGGUGAGUGGAAUUCCCAGUGUAGAGGUGAAAUUCGUAGAUAUUGGGAAGAACACCGGUGGCGAAGGCGGCCUGCUGGGCUAUGGCUGACACUGAGGCGCGACAGCGUGGGGAGCAAACAGG
rnacentral:rRNA from 1 species